UUAUAUUUCCCUGGUUAAAAAGAAAAACAAAUAAGAUACCACAAAGAUCAAGAUCAAGCGAGAGCAUUUGGACCCAGACCGAGACCUCAUCCCUCACUCCUCAGACACGUGCUUAUGUGUAUCUGUAAACCACUAAAACCUUAAGGAACAGCUAGGAAACACACACCAAAUAUAGCUGCAACACAAACAAACAACAAAGAAGAUGGCAAAGAAGAGGAAGAGGAGUGGAAGCAACACACAAAAUAAAAACUUGAAAGAGAAGAAGGAAGAGGAACAAAAUAAAGAAGACAUGACAAAAGAAGAUAAAGAGAGUAAAAGUGGAGAGAAGGAGAUAGAGAAGAUGGAAAAGAUGACUUCUAUUAAUGCAGAGAUGAA